rnacentral:rRNA from 1 species
AUACGGAGGGAGCGAGCGUUAAUCGGAAUUACUGGGCGUAAAGCGCGCGUAGGCGGCUUUGUAAGUCGGAUGUGAAAGCCCUGGGCUCAACCUGGGAAUUGCAUUCGAUACUGCAGAGCUAGAGUAUGGUAGAGGGAAGUGGAAUUUCCGGUGUAGCGGUGAAAUGCGUAGAUAUCGGAAGGAACACCAGUGGCGAAGGCGACUUCCUGGGCCAAUACUGACGCUGAGGUGCGAAAGUGUGGGGAGCAAACAGGAUUAGAAACCCCUGUAGUCC